rnacentral:misc_RNA from 1 species
UUUCCCGCUUUAAAGUAACGGAGCGUUGCCCGUCGAUUUUUUUUUUCGGAGGUGUGUCGGGGCGUCUCUCAUCGACUGUCCCGUUUACGGUACCGAAAAAAACAGCGGCUUAUUCACAGCAUGGAGCUGCAGGCAGCAAGAAAGCUGCAGCUUAUCGCGAAGGCGUUCGCGUCAAGCUCCAUACGGUUCAACGUCACGGUUGCCCCGCAUCCCACCAAGGUCGAUACGUUCAACGUACUGUUCUCCAUGCCCACAGCAGAGGCACCGGAGUCCCCCACGUUUGUCACACUCACCAUUACCGAAUGUGCUCGUGUCGAGGGCGGGCGCAGUUUCACUGGCUUCCUCGAGUACCAGAAAUGGCCUCUAACGCUCGUAAUCGAGGACAGUGGUAAUCUGAAGGACUUUCCUGAACGGUGCAUUGACGUUGCAUGGGAGCACAAACAGUGUGUGAGUCGUACUCCCCUGUGGCUACCGUGAGCUGUCUUACCUCACUUGAUCUCGUUGCAGAAGAGGAGCGCGACGACCGCCACGCGUUCAUGCGGUCACUAGCCCCGCCAUCGAGUGCAGAAGUGCACUCCCUACCAUGUACAUAGUGUAGUGGCCGCGUGCCGCACGGCGCAUUGUCUGGCUGGCGGCGGGCUUUCUGCUUUGCUUCGCUCUUUCGGCAGAGGGGUUUGUUGGUGCGCUUGUACAACAACAACAAAAAAAAAUACAUUUCAAGACGAAGGUUUGCUGCUCGUGUAAACGCCGGCAGAGAGCGAGAGAACCAAUAGCGAUGGCCGACACGCGGAAGGCUGUCGCUUCUUGUGGUGGGACUCGGC